rnacentral:rRNA from 1 species
AACGAACGCUGGCGGCAUGCCUAACACAUGCAAGUCGAACGAGACCUUCGGGUCUAGUGGCGCACGGGUGCGUAACGCGUGGGAACCUGCCUUUAGGUUCGGAAUAACUCAGAGAAAUUUGAGCUAAUACCGGAUGAUGUCUUCGGACCAAAGAUUUAUCGCCUUUAGAUGGGCCCGCGUUGGAUUAGCUAGUUGGUGGGUAAAGGCCUACCAAGGCGACGAUCCAUAGCUGGUCUGAGAGGAUGAUCAGCCACACUGGGACUGAGACACGGCCCAGACUCCUACGGGAGGCAGCAGUGGGGAAUAUUGGACAAUGGGCGAAAGCCUGAUCCAGCAAUGCCGCGUGAGUGAUGAAGGCCUUAGGGUUGUAAAGCUCUUUUACCAGGGAUGAUAAUGACAGUACCUGGAGAAUAAGCUCCGGCUAACUCCGUGCCAGCAG